UAGAGUUUGAUCCUGGCUCAGAACGAACGCUGGCGGCAGGCUUAACACAUGCAAGUCGAACGCAUCCUUCGGGGUGAGUGGCAGACGGGUGAGUAACGCGUGGGAACGUGCCCUUCAGUUCGGAAUAACCCAGGGAAACUUGGGCUAAGACCGGAUACGUGCGAGAGCAGAAAGAUUUAUCGCUGAAGGAUCGGCCCGCGUCUGAUUAGCUAGUUGGUGGGGUAAUGGCCCACCAAGGCGACGAUCAGUAGCUGGUCUGAGAGGAUGAUCAGCCACAUUGGGACUGAGACACGGCCCAAACUCCUACGGGAGGCAGCAGUGGGGAAUAUUGGACAAUGGGCGCAAGCCUGAUCCAGCCAUGCCGCGUGAGUGAUGAAGGCCUUAGGGUUGUAAAGCUCUUUCGUCCGGGACGAUAAUGACGGUACCGGAAGAAGAAGCCCCGGCUAACUUCGUGCCAGCAGCCGCGGUAAUACGAAGGGGGCUAGCGUUGUUCGGAAUCACUGGGCGUAAAGGGCGCGUAGGCGGCUUUGUAAGUCGGGGGUGAAAGCCUGUGGCUCAACCACAGAAUUGCCUUCGAUACUGCAUGGCUUGAGACCGGAAGAGGUUAGUGGAACUGCGAGUGUAGAGGUGAAAUUCGUAGAUAUUCGCAAGAACACCAGUGGCGAAGGCGGCUGACUGGUCCGGUUCUGACGCUGAGGCGCGAAAGCGUGGGGAGCAAACAGGAUUAGAUACCCUGGUAGUCCACGCCGUAACGAUGAAUGCCAGCCGUUGGCGAGCUUGCUCGUCAGUGGCGCAGCUAACGCUUUAAGCAUUCCGCCUGGGGAGUACGGUCGCAAGAUUCAAACUCAAAGGAAUUGACGGGGGCCCGCACAAGCGGUGGAGCAUGUGGUUUAAUUCGA
rnacentral:rRNA from 1 species